AUGGCUGGCGUGGCGGCGCCGGCGGGGGCGGCGUUGGCGGGGGGGCUCACGACGCCCGAGGUCGAUGCGGCCAAGCUGCUCCUCCAGCUCAGCGAGAGCAGCGCCACAUCAGGCGGCUCCUCCUCCUCCCUGCGCUCCCUGAACGCCGCGCCGGCGCCAGCGCCGGGGACCUUGGUUCUUGGUGACUGCGUGGACUGGGAGGAAGAUGACGAGCACGAGGUGCCCGGGAGCCAGCACAGGAUGAAGCGCUACCGCCUGAUCACCGAGAUCUAUGCCGCGACGGAGGAAAUCGGUGAGUGCAGCGGCAGCGGCCGGAAGAACAAGAAGAAGGAAUAG
rnacentral:rRNA from 1 species